rnacentral:rRNA from 1 species
UACAGAGACUGCAAGCGUUAUUCGGAUUUACUGGGCGUAAAGCGCGUGUAGGCGGCCACGCAGGUCCGUUGUGAAAACUAGAGGCUCAACCUCUAGACGUCGACGGAAACCGUGUGGCUAGAGUCCGGAAGAGGAGAGUGGAAUUCCUGGUGUAGCGGUGAAAUGCGCAGAUAUCAGGAGGAACACCAAUUGCGAAGGCAGCUCGCUGGGACGUUACUGACGCUGAGACGCGAAAGCGUGGGGAGCAAACAGG